UUCUCUUCCCUUCACCGCCAACAUUUUGAAGACAUCCAAGUUCCAUUUUUUUUUCUUUUUCCUUCUUCAAUUUGCAGAGAACUUCUAAGAGAGAGUUUGGAAGAAGAAGAGAAAUUUUACUAGAAUUUUUAGGUUGAAGAAGAGGAGGAGAACUCAAGCAAAGUGUAUCAAUGGCUGAAUUUUAGUUCAUUCUGCACAUCACUGGUUUUUAAUUCGGUUUGAACUCUUCAAAAGGAAUUAAGAGGGCAGUUGGUUUUCACUCGAAAUCAGGAGGUCUAUGGUUUUUCUUGUAUUUCAGAGUGUAUCGGUGGAGUUAGAAUCUCUGUUUGGUAUUGUUGGAAAGCUUAUUCCAUUUACUACAACUUUCAUGAAGAAAUUGUAAACCAAAAACAACUAAAUAUCAGUUAAAUUGUAGGGACAAGUUAAAGAGGUCGUGUGCGCGCGAUUCUGGAAGUGGUUCUGUUUUGAGGGUUAUAUGUGUUUAUGCACGGGGAAUCAGAUUUAUAUGUCUUCAGGCCGAGAAGAAUUAAACCGAGCUUAUAGACCAAGGAUCUAGCCCAAGACUGUAGAGAUCGACUUCCCGGUGCCUGAUAGACUGCCUUAGUCUGCGGAAGCUUCAUUAUCGAUUGCCAGUACGUGUUUUGAGUUGGGCAUAGAGUCUGUUGUGUUGUGGUGUAUAUACACCCUUGUAUGUUAUAGAUACUCCACAGUUUGUAUAAGCUUUAGGAGCUGUAGUUGUGUAAAUUUUGUUGGUUAUAUUUUGAUUAAGGUGUCUUUAGGUUUACUCGUGAAAUCGGUAAAUUUUGAGGUACACUUCAUGUAUGUGUUUGACUAGCUGUGUUUGACUAGCCUAGGAUCCGCUGUGUUUUGUGGCAUGUACAAUAGUUUAUAUACUAGAUUGGCAAGUUCA